AAUAUGUAGUAUGACUGAUGGACUUUUUCAUCAUUAAAUUAGUCUAGCAUCUAAACUUUUACCACUGAAAUAAUAUUGACCAAAAAGCAAUUUAUAAAAGGUAUUUGUGAAUAGAAAAUACAAUGUGAUCAUUUGUACUUAUGUGCACCUUAAAAGAGGAAUUCUGUCUAGCUGUCAAAUUCUGGUUCCUUAACAUCCAGUCCUUGAUUGUGAUUGAGAUCUGGUAGGACGUGCUGGGGCACGCUAGCAGAUAAAAUCCCGUAUACUUUAGGAUAGAUGUUACAUUUAUGUCAGUGUUGGCAAAGAGCAUUGUGUAGUAAUAAAGAAUUCAAGACUUCAGCAAUGUCAACCUGAAACUUUGUAAAUAUUUCCUAGAUUGUUAUUUGAUGCAGUCACAGCUCUUUAUCACACAAUGUUGUCUUUCCCUCAUCAGGCAAUU
rnacentral:lncRNA from 1 species